ensembl:lncRNA
GGGGAUUCGACUUGGGGGUAUUUGCCGCACUUUGGACUCUUUUUAGCCGAUUUGCCUGCAUGGACAGCAUGUUGGCGGCGGCGAGACUAUCGCCUACAGCCGGGAGCUACUUCUUGCCCUUCGUCCACUGGCAGUGGGUGCAAAGCAGAGGCUGUCCUCACACCGCCAGAGCGUGACUGCAACUGGAGGGGGACCCAGUACUCCUGACCUAACACCAAUUGACACGAAAGUUGCAUCCAUAAUUUAAUGCAAGCGUGAGUGGCAUCAUGUCCGAAAGGGAAGGAGACACUGACAACACAGAAGAACAAGAGUCAGCGGUCGGUGGGGAGGAGGAGGACGAUGAUGCCGGCGAGGGGCCCUCAGCCGCAGGUCCUCCGGCUGCCCCCACCCCCAGCACCAAGCGUCAGUCCGCUGGUCGGGUCCUCACAGACGCAGUUCUGCAGCUACAGAGGGAAACGAUAGAUGCAGCCAACAACUUGUCUGAGGAGAUGAGGCAGAUUCGAAAUGUUAUCACCGAAAUUGCCACAAUAUUAAAAGAUACUGUGAAAAAAUGAACCUUGAGUCGUCUUCAUUUCAUAAACGCCGCAUGACAUCCGCACGUACUCUUGCACCCUGUUGAAAUCCAACUUGCC